UGCAGUCGAGCGAACAGACGAGGAGCUUGCUCCUCUGACGUUAGCGGCGGACGGGUGAGUAACACGUGGAUAACCUACCUAUAAGACUGGGAUAACUUCGGGAAACCGGAGCUAAUACCGGAUAAUAUAUUGAACCGCAUGGUUCAAUAGUGAAAGACGGUUUUGCUGUCACUUAUAGAUGGAUCCGCGCCGCAUUAGCUAGUUGGUAAGGUAACGGCUUACCAAGGCAACGAUGCGUAGCCGACCUGAGAGGGUGAUCGGCCACACUGGAACUGAGACACGGUCCAGACUCCUACGGGAGGCAGCAGUAGGGAAUCUUCCGCAAUGGGCGAAAGCCUGACGGAGCAACGCCGCGUGAGUGAUGAAGGUCUUCGGAUCGUAAAACUCUGUUAUUAGGGAAGAACAAAUGUGUAAGUAACUAUGCACGUCUUGACGGUACCUAAUCAGAAAGCCACGGCUAACUACGUGCCAGCAGCCGCGGUAAUACGUAGGUGGCAAGCGUUAUCCGGAAUUAUUGGGCGUAAAGCGCGCGUAGGCGGUUUUUUAAGUCUGAUGUGAAAGCCCACGGCUCAACCGUGGAGGGUCAUUGGAAACUGGAAAACUUGAGUGCAGAAGAGGAAAGUGGAAUUCCAUGUGUAGCGGUGAAAUGCGCAGAGAUAUGGAGGAACACCAGUGGCGAAGGCGACUUUCUGGUCUGUAACUGACGCUGAUGUGCGAAAGCGUGGGGAUCAAACAGGAUUAGAUACCCUGGUAGUCCACGCCGUAAACGAUGAGUGCUAA
rnacentral:rRNA from 1 species